rnacentral:rRNA from 2 species
UAAGCGGAGGAAAAGAAACUAACAAGGAUUCCCCUAGUAGCGGCGAGCGAACCGGGAAGAGCUCAAAUUUAAAAUCUGGCGUCUUUCAGGCGUCCGAGUUGUAAUCUACAGAAGCGUUUUCCGUGCUGAACUGUGUCCAAGUCCCUUGGAAUAGGGUAUCAAAGAGGGUGAUAAUCCCGUACUUGACACAACAAUCAGUGCUCUGUGAUACGUUUUCUACGAGUCGAGUUGUUUGGGAAUGCAGCUCAAAAUGGGUGGUAAAUUCCAUCUAAAGCUAAAUAUAGGCGAGAGACCGAUAGCGAACAAGUACCGUGAGGGAAAGAUGAAAAGCACUUUGGAAAGAGAGUUAAACAGUACGUGAAAUUGUUAAAAGGGAAACGAUUGAAGUCAGUCAUGUCUAUUGGUUUCAGCUAGCUCUGCUAGUGUAUUACCAAUGGACGGGUCAACAUCAGUUUUAGUCGGUGGAAAAAGGCAUAGAGAAAGUAGCACCUCCGGGUGUGUUAUAGCUCUGUGUUGCAUACACUGACCGAGACUGAGGAAUGCAGCUCGCCUUUACGGCCGGGGUUCGCCCACGUUCGAGCUUAGGAUGUUGACAUAAUGGCUUUAAACGACCCGUCUUGAAACA